AGGCAAACUAAUCUGCAGAACUGACCUGUUCAUCACAAUGAAGCUGCUGUUUUCUCUGUUUCUCCUCUGGGCACUCUCCACCACAGCUGGAGCUCUUCAGUGUCAAACCUGCACAAAUUCGACGUGUUCAAGCACAGUACCAGUUACAUGUUCAUCGGAAACAAUGUGUGUUACAGCUACCAUUCAAGCUACUUCAUCUGGAACUCCGGUCACACAAAUCUACAAGGCAUGUGCAUCUUCCUCCCUGUGUCCAGCCGUAACCUCUCAGACAUUUUCAGUCAACCUGGGUUUUCAAAGUGCUCUGGCUUCUGCUCAAUGCUGCGACACAGAUAACUGCAACUCAGCAACUCUGCCAAGUAAGUUAAAUACUACGUUGCUCAUUGAAGACAAAAGAAUAAUAUAAAGCAAUAAAAACAAUAAUCUGAUGUUGCAAGGGUCUCUGUUCUGAAAUGAAAUGUCCUCCUUUUCUGUUUCAGCUCCUGCUUCUCAGUCAAAUAAUGGUGGAGUAUGCAACUUUUGUGACCCUUCCACUGGUCAGUGCUCCUCCACAUUACAGUGUCAGGGAGUGGAGAACCAAUGCUUCCAAUUAACCAUCAAAAGCAGCACCAGCACGUAUGUAGCUCAGGGCUGCGCAUCUGCAAACCUGUGUGCAGCUGCUUCAAGCCUGGAAUCUCUACCUUUCAUGCCGAGCGUUGGUACCAUAUCAAGUGUUACCUGUUCUGCAGCACCAACUACAACUGCUGCCCCAACUACAACCAUCCCCCCAACUACAACUGCAACCACCACCCCAACUACAACUGCAACCACCACCCCAACUACAACUGCAACCACUGCCUCUACAACCAAAAGUGACGCUUGUUCUAUCAGACUGGGAAUGAUCCAUCUGCUGCUUGGACUCCUUCUCUUUACCUUUCAUUAAAGUCCCGAAUAACACAAAAACAAACAAAAGAACAUAUGAUGCUUUAACAAGACUCAAAAACCUUUUGGAUAUUAACCUUGUGUUUACAAACCACUGUUAAAGUGAAGUCCAUGAAAAAAGGCGAGAGUCUUGUUGAAGCUGACUUGGAAUAAGUAUGUAAGACUUCUUUGUUUGUUGUCAUGAUGGACAAUUAUGUCCAUUAUGUCCAAAAUAAAUGACAUUAUUCAUUACAUUUAUUUGACAUAUAUACAUGUAUAUUCCUCCAUGUAUGCAAAUGUAUGCAAUUCAUUUAAUACUAAAUGGGUGACACAACUGAAUCCUUAUAGCAAUAACAAAGCAUUGCUUUGUGCUUUUUAUUUUCUGCAUGUCUCUCUUUCUAAUCUGAUCUAUAUUACUAGUGAUCAAUGGUGGAUCUGCAAGGGUGGAUCUACAAGGGUGGCAUGUGCCCACCUAAAAAUAGUCUCUUGCCAUCCCUAGUGGCACCCAAGUUUUGCAGUGUUGUUUAUUAAAAUAAGCCAGCAUUAACCCUUUGAGCCUAGCUACAGUUACAGUUAACAAUGACAGAGUGGGCAAUACAGUAAGUUUGCACCUCCUUUUGUCAGACCUGCAGGGUUUAAGCUUGUGGUGUUCUCCUCUGUCUUAUGGCAGACAAACUAUUUUUUUGCACUGGCACAAAUAAUUUGUGGCAUCUUACUGUGACACCUGAUUGUUGUCUAAUUUUUGUUUUAGUAGUUUUAAAUGGCAAAAAACUCCAGUUACAUUGGCUGCAUUUUUAGGUAAAGAGUUGUAUAGAACUUUAUUGUUUACAAAAUUUGGGUGUAGGUCUUUAGAAUUUAGGAAAUUUCUGUAGUUCUGCCCCUGCUGAUGAUAAAGAUACAAUAAAG
rnacentral:lncRNA from 1 species